rnacentral:rRNA from 1 species
UACGUAGGGGGCGAGCGUUGUCCGGAUUUAUUGGGCGUAAAGAGCUCGUAGGCGGUUCAGUAAGUCGGGUGUGAAAACUUUGGGCUUAACCCAAAGCGUGCAUCCGAUACUGCUGUGACUUGAGUUCGGUAGGGGAGUGGGGAAUUCCUAGUGUAGCGGUGAAAUGCGCAGAUAUUAGGAGGAACACCGGUGGCGAAGGCGCCACUCUGGGCCGAAACUGACGCUGAGGAGCGAAAGCAUGGGUAGCAAACAGG